ensembl:lncRNA
GUUACCCCCAAAAAGGAAGUCAUAUCAAGAGGAAGCAGAAGGGAUGACAUUAAGCCAGCGUGACAGGCCCACGUCUGCCUGUCGCACCAGGGACUCAGCAACAACUGUCUCUCAAAACUCCAUUUGCACCCUUCCAACAAGCAGGUCCAGCCCCCCUGCUGAUGGCCACCUCCUUUGUUUGAUGAAGUCUGUGGUGAGCAUGCAGGCAGCCUAAGAGCCAACUUUUGCCCCAAGCAGUUUGCAAUCUAGCUAUCAAGAGGAGCUCCAGAAGUGACCAGCAGAGCCUCAGAGCGAUGCAGUGCAGGGAACAACUUCCGGACUCAGUUUAGCGUCAGGUUGUUGUGAGACUUAAAGGAAAAUAAUAAAUCUGAAGUGCUCAGCAGAGAGCCCUGCACACAGCUGUAUCCUUGGGCUUAGAACUACUAGCUGGCAUACCACCAGCCCUCAGUAAAUAUUCACCGAGUGAGCAAAUGAGUUGGACAGCUCAAAUUCCUUCCUGCCCCAGAAGCUCCCGGUACAGGAGACAGGACAAACCUGUGUUGCUUCUCCAGCUCUGUCACCAGCUCAUCCCUGCGGCAGCGUUGGGGGGUGGGAUGGCCUGUAAACGUUUUGCUGAACUCUUAUUAAAUAUUUCCCCCUUUCCCG